GGAUUCGAGAAGAGGUUACAGAGCAUCAAGGAGCGGCACGUGCAGUGAUGGCUUCCAAAACGGUGAAGAGGUGCCUGAAGCCCCAUCCUGUCUAGCCUGCGCACACGUCGCUAAGAAUGAAAGCUGAUUUCCAGUGAUAAGAGAACAAAGGGAUUUCUUUAGAGAAAAAACUGCUGACUCUGCACGGACGUGCAGUAACUUCUGACAUCCGGCCAAGAGACCACCAGAUAAGGAGGAAGAAUAUGAGCCUCCCGUCCGAGCGGCCCCCAAGAGACUACCAGAGACUGAUAAGCAGGCGCCCUUGGGAGGACUUUGGAUUCGGGAAACCAAUUAUAAUAACCCUGCCUCUUUUUAAAGUAGUAAUAAAUAUGAAGUAGCCUAGGAGUAUAAAAAAU